UGGGGUAUUGUGCACAGAAAAAGUGAAGAAGAGCUUUAUUUUUGAUGGACCUUCUUUUUUAAACCCUAGAAUGAGAAGCAGUGAGAUAAUGUCAGGUCGUGGUCUGUAGUUGAGAUAAUGUCAGGUAGUGUCUGUAGUUGAGAUAAUGUCAGGUAGUGUCUGUAGUUGAGAUAAUGUCAGGUAGUAGUCUGUAGUUGAGAUAAUGGCAGGUAGUGUGUGUAGUUGAGAUAAUGUCAGGUAGUAGUCUGUAGUUGAGAUAAUGUCAGGUAGUAGUCUGUAGUUGAGAUAAUGGCAGGUAGUGGUCUGUAGUUAUAUGAAUAGAAGCAGUGAGAUAAUAUCAGGUAGUGUCUGUAGUUGAGAUAAUGUCAGGUAGUAAUCUGUAGUUGAGAUAAUGGCAGGUAGUGUCUGUAGUUGAGAUAAUGGCAGGUAGUGGUCUGUAGUUAUAUGAAUAGAAGCAGUGAGAUAAUAUCAGGUAGUGUCUGUAGUUGAGAUAAUGUCAGGUAGUAAUCUGUAGUUGAGAUAAUGGCAGGUAGUGUCUGUAGUUGAGAUAAUGGCAGGUAGUGGUCUGUAGUUGAGAUAAUGUCAGGUAGUAGUCUGUAGUUGAGAUAAUGUCAGGUAGUAGUCUGUAGUUGAGAUAAUGGCAGGUAGUGGUCUGUAGUUAUAUGAAUAGAAGCAGUGAGAUAAUAUCAGGUAGUGUCUGUAGUUGAGAUAAUGUCAGGUAGUGUCUGUAGUUGAGAUAAUGGCAGGUAGUGGUCUGUAGUUAUAUGAAUAGAAGCAGUG
ensembl:lncRNA